rnacentral:tRNA from 1 species
GGAUAUUGCUCAGUGGUAGAGCACUUGCCUAGCAUGUGCAAGGCCCUGGAUUCAAUCCCCAGUACCA